rnacentral:rRNA from 1 species
GGACUACAGGGGUAUCUAAUCCUGUUUGCUCCCCACGCUUUCGCGUCUCAGCGUCAGCAACGAUCCAGAGGGCCGCCUUCGCCGCCGGUGUUCCUCCUGAUAUCUACGCAUUUCACCGCUACACCAGGAAUUCCACCCUCCUCUAUCGCGCUCCAGUCGGCUAGUUUCCGAUGCACUUCCGAGGCUAAGCCUCGGGAUUUCACACCGGACUGGGCCAACCGCCUACACGCCCUUUACGCCCAGUCAAUCCGAACAACGCUAGCACCCUCCGUCUUACCGCGGCUGCUGGCAC